GUGAGGAAUUUUGCGCAAUGGGGGCAACCCUGACGCAGCGACGCCGCGUGGAGGACGAAGUCUUUCGGGAUGUAAACUCCUGUCAGUGGGGACGAUAAUGACGGUACCCACAGAGGAAGCACCGGCUAACUCCGUGCCAGCAGCCGCGGUAAGACGGAGGGUGCAAGCGUUGUUCGGAAUUACUGGGCGUAAAGCGUACGUAGGCGGCAAGUUAAGUUCAAUGUUAAAGCCCACGGCUCAACCGAGGAGAUGCAUUGAAUACUGGCUAGCUAGAGGGUGUUAGAGGAAGACGGAAUUCCCAGUGUAGCGGUGAAAUGCGUAGAUAUUGGGAGGAACAUCGGUAGCGAAAGCGGUCUUCUGGGACACACCUGACGCUGAGGUACGAAAGCGUGGGGAGCAAACGGGAUUAGAUACCCGGGUAGUCC
rnacentral:rRNA from 1 species